rnacentral:rRNA from 1 species
CGUCUCAAAGACUAAGCCAUGCAAGUCUAAGUUCACAUCAAUUUAAGAUGAAACUGCGAAGCGCUCAGUAAAUCAGUUAUUGUCUGUUCGAUCAUAUCAGCCAUGGAUAACUGUGGUAAAUCUAGAGCUAAUACAUAGCAAACUCCAGUUAAAUGGAGGCAUUUAUUAGACUUAACCAACGGGUCUUCGGACCUGCAGGUGAACCUGAAUAACUGUGCAUAUCGGCACUUGUGCCGAUAGUUCGAUUGAAUUUCUGCCCUAUCAACUAGUUGGUGAGGUAUUGGCUCACAAAGGUUGCGACGGGUAACGGGGAAUCAGGGUUCGAUUCCGGAGAGGGAGCCUGAGAAACGGCUACCACAUCUAAGGAAGGCAGCAGGCGCGCAAAUUACCCAAUCCAGAAUUUGGGAGGUAGUGACGAGAAAUACCGGAGUUGACCCUAAGUUGGUUAUCUAUCGGAAUGAACGUAAUUUAGUACCUUCGAUGAGUACCCACUGGAGGGCAAGUCUGGUGCCAGCAGCCGCGGUAAUUCCAGCUCCAGUAGUGUAUGUCAAUGUUGUUGCGGUUAAAGCGCUCGUAGUUGGAUUACAAAAGCUCGAUGAGAUCCGGCCUCAAGUAGUCCGGAUGUUGUGGGGUUUUUUUAUCGCGAGAGCCAUGUGUGGGAUUAAAUUCUUGUACUUGGUCACUUGCGGAGUGUGCCUUGAAUAAAGCACAGUGCUCAAAGCAGGCGUACGCUCGAAUGUUAUAGCAUGGAACGAAUAUGUUGACCGUGUCGAUUGUUGGUUGUGGACGGGGUCUCGAUUAAAAGGAACAUUUGAGGGCGUUGGUACUUGGUGGCGAGAGGUGAAAUUCUUAGACCCCCCAAAGACUCACAAAUGCGAAAGCGUUCGCCAAGAGUGUUUUCAUUAAUCAAAAACGAAAGUCAAAGGUUCGAAAACAAUCAAAUACCGUCGUAGUUCUGACAGUAAACGAUGCCAACAUGGGGUUAGUCUGGUGCUAUCUCGAUUGGUCCCUCUAAGAAAUUAAGUUUUUCGGUCUCGGGGAGAGUCCUCACGCAAGUGAAAAAUUUAAAGAAAUUGACGGAAUGGCACCACCAGGAGUGGAGCCUGCGGCUUAAUUUGACUCAACACGGGAAAACUCACCAGGUCCAGACAUUGACAGGAUUGACAGACUAAGAGAUCUUUCAUGAUACGAUGAUUGGUGGUGCAUGGCCGUUCUUAGUUGGUGGAGUGAUCUGUCAGGUUAAUUCCGGUAACGAACGAGACCGCGAUCUCUAAUUGAUUACGACCAUUUUGUUUUGGUCAAUCUUAGGGAGACAACCGGAGUUAAGCCGGGGGAAGCGUGGCAAUAACAGGUCUGUGAUGCCCUUCGAUGUUCUGGGCUGCACGCGCGCUACAAUGGCAGUGACAACGAGUGCCUGCUUUGAGAGAAGUGGGGAAUCUUGGAAAUCGCUGUCGUGAUUGGGAUUGAGCCUUGUAAUAAUUGCUCAUGAAAGAGGAAUUCCUCGUAAGCGCGAGUCAUCAACUCGUGUUGAAUACGUCUCUGCCCUUUGUACACACCGCCCGUCGCUACUACCGACUAGAUGGUAUUUCGAAAAGCUAGGACUGGUAUUGCUUUCGGGCAACGCUGGGAUAAGUCUUGAGGAGCCCCAUCCGGAGGAAGUAAAAGUCGUAACAAGGUUUCCGUAGGUGAACCUGCGGAAGGAUCAU